UGGCUGUAGCUAUAUCAAAUCAAAUGGCUGAGAAGUUAACUGGCCGGUUGUCGUGAAUCUCUGUCGACAAAUCUGCUUACCGAACUUCUCACAUUU
rnacentral:snoRNA from 11 species